AUGUCGUCCACCACUGGGCAGGCAGCUCCUAGUCCUAGCUCACCUGCUGUGGCUAAUCCUGCUCCUCCGGCAGCGACCACCAUGGAGCCCAAGAUGGAUGCCGGGCUGCUAGCACUGGCCUGCUCUGGCUCUUUCCAUGAUCUGGAAUCACUCCUUUACGGGAAACAAGCCGCCUACACCAUGGGAAGCUCCGCGAGGCAGCCACCUUCUCUGUACGCAGUUACAGUUGGAGGUGACACUCUUCUCCACUUGGUGGCCGCCAUCUAUGGCGAUUCAGAGGACUCCACUGGCAAGGCCAGCCUCGUCUACCACAAGGCACCUAGCCUCCUCUUCGUGCAAAACUGCCAGGGAGAUACACCCCUCCACUGUGCUGCACGGGCGGGGAACAUCCGAAUGAUGUCUCGUUUCAUUGAUCUUGCCAAUGUUCAGGGUAUCAACAAUGCUAAGGGGCUGCUGGAAACACAGAACAACCUCAAAGAAACAGCCUUGCACGUGGCCGUCCGCUUUGGGAGCAAUGAUAUGGUCAAUUUGCUCAUGGGCCAUGAUCCAGAGUUAGCCAAUUUGCCUGAAGAAGGUGCUUCGCCGUUGAAUCUCGCCAUCUUACUGGAAAAUGGAAUCAUCUCAAAAACACUCUACGAGUUGAACGGUGGGGCUCUUUCAUACUCUGGCCCAAAUGAACAAAAUGCAUUGCAUGGUGCUGUUCAGCGAAGCGAAGCGACCACCAUGGAGCCCAAGAUCAAGAUGGACGCUGGGCUGUUAGCACUGGCCUGCUCUGGCUCUUCCCAUGAUCUGGAAUCACUCCUUAACAGAACACCAGCCGCCUACACCAUCGGAAGCUCGGCGACGCAGCCAGCUUCUGUGUAUGGGGUUACCAUUGGAGGUGACACUCUUCUCCAUGUGGUCGCCGCCGGCCAUGGCGACUCUGAGGACUUACUGAACAAAGCCAGUCUCCUCUACAGCAAGGCACCCAACCUCCUCUUCGUGCAAAACAACGAUGGAGAUACGCCCCUGCACUGUGCUGCACGGGCGGGGAACAUCCAAAUGGUGUCUCUUCUCAUUGAUCUCGCCAAUGGUCAGGGUAUUAACAAUGCAAAGGGACUUCUUGAGGCACAAAACAAGCUCAAUGAGACAGCCUUGCACGAGGCCGUCCGCUCUGGGAACAAUGAUAUAGUCAAGUUGCUCAUGGCCCAUGAUCCAGAGUUGGCCACUCUUCCUAUAGAAGGUACUUCGCCGCUGUAUCUUGCCGUCUUACUGGAAAAUGGCAUCAUCGCCAAAACACUCUACGAGUUGAGCGUCGGGGUUCUUUCAUACUCUGGACCAAAUGGGCAAAAUGCAUUACAUGCUGCUGUUCUCCGAGGGAAAGAUGUUACAAAGAUGUUGUUAGAAUGGAACAACUCCCUUACAGUACAACAGGACGAGAAUGGAAGUACACCACUUCACUUAGCAGCAUCUGAAGUACGUCAAAGAGACCGAAGGGCCAUAUGUUUACUUCUAUUGAAGGCCAAUCCAGAUGCAUUGUAUCAAAUGGACAACGAUGGAUUACUACCCAUACACGUGGCUGCACUCCUCAAUUCAACAAUUCUCAUCAGUGAUUUUCUUAUGGAGUCCCCUAGUUGUGUUGGUUUGCGUGAUGCUAGGGGAAAGACAUUUCUUCAUGUUGCAGUGGAAAAAAUGAAAAUAUGCACAGUCCAUUUUGCUUGCAACAGCCGAUCCUUGUCAUGGAUUUUGAAUAUGCAAGAUAAUGAUGGGAACAGUGCACUGCACCUAGCUAUCCAGAUAAGAAAUCUGAAGAUGUUUUGUGCUCUACUAGGAAAUAUACAAGUAAACUUAAAUUUAACAAAUAAGAAAGGAGAGACUCCAUUUGAUAUAGCACGUUGCAAUCUUAUUACCACCAAAGGUCUACACAGCAACAAGAAGAGCGAAGCAAAAAUACUCCAAGCACUAAGACUUGUUGAUGCUAAGUCAGGUAUUUGUCGCGGGGAUUACUUGGAAGGGAAAAAGGAAGUUGUCCAAGCAAGACAGAAUGGAACAAGUAAAAUGGAGAAUGUGAAAGAGGGGACACAAAGCUUAUGUAUUGGUGCCGUACUAAUUGCAACCGUGACGUUUGGUGCAAGUUUUACCAUGCCUGGAGGUUAUAGAUCUGAUGGUCACACUAGCGGAGGCACACCAACACUUGCCGGAAGGUUUGCUUUUGAUGCAUUCAUGCUAGCCAAUUCUUUAGCCUUCACCUUCUCCAUGAUAGCGACAAUUGCUCUUAUGUCUUCCGGGUCUCCCAUGCAUAACCCUCAGAGCAGGGAACUGCACUUCGGCAUGGCCUUCGGUUUCCUGUCGAUUUCGAUUACAGGCUUGGUAGCGGCCUUUGCACUUAGUACCUAUACGAUGUUAGCUCCCGUUGCUCAUAAGACUGCCAUUGUAGUUUGUGUCAUGAGUUCUCUCAUAUUGCUCUAUCAAAAUUGCGAACUUGCAAUCAAGAAUAGUCUUCUUGCGCCACCACUCUGUAGGAGGAAGGGGAUAUUUCGUGCAAGAGUCUGGACAUUCCCAUUGACAUCAUUCACAUUCUUGGUCAGCAUUCUGCUUAACCUUUGGCCCAUAGUAGUCAUCUUAUGUUUGACUGCAUUAAGUUACACCAGAGGCAAAGUGGAACUAGCGGCGCAGCCAGCCACACCACACCACUAG
rnacentral:rRNA from 1 species